rnacentral:rRNA from 1 species
UACAGAGGUCUCAAGCGUUGUUCGGAUUCAUUGGGCGUAAAGGGUGCGUAGGCGGCGCGGUAAGUCGGGUGUGAAAUCCCUGGGCUCAACCCAGGAACUGCGUCCGAUACUGGGAGGCUCGAAUCCGGGAGAGGGAUGUGGAAUUCCAGGUGUAGCGGUGAAAUGCGUAGAUAUCUGGAGGAACACCGGUGGCGAAGGCGGCAUCCUGGACCGGUAUUGACGCUGAUGCGCGAAAGCCAGGGGAGCAAACGGG